rnacentral:lncRNA from 1 species
GCUCCUAGUGGCCAACCGGUACAACCAUCUUUUUUGUCUCCCACCGGUCAACAUGCACAGCAACCCUUUUCAGCUCAUGCCGGUCAACCUGGACAGCAAUCCUUUUCAGCUCAUGCCGGUCAACCUGGACAGCAAUCCUUUUCAGCUCAUGCCGGUCAACCUGGACAGCAAUCCUUUUCAGCACCUCCAAGUGGCCAACCAGUGCAACCACCUUUUGUAUCUCCCACCAGCCGACAUGUACAGCAACCCUUUUCAGCUCAUGGUGGUCAACCUGGACUGCAACCCUUCUCAGCUCAUGCCGGUCAACCUGGACAGCUGCCAUUUUCAGCUCAUGCUGGUCAACCUGGACAGCAGCCCUUUUCAGCUUAUGCUGGUCAGCCUG